GUUAUAAUUCAAAGACACUUAUUACAGAAUAGCUUGAGAUUUAUAACAGGUAAUUGCAAAGUUUGUUCAAAAAAACCUUCUUCCAUGCUUUCCUCGGUUGUUUAUUAGAACUCAUCUUUGUAACUGUCCCAUGGCCGUGUUCUACAACUACAAUUACACGGAUUCUUUUUAUUUCCCUGACACGAAACACAACUUUGUAUUUCACACUACUGCUCUUAUGCCUUUAUUUUUUUUGUAUUAAUAAAAAAAAAAAUAAUAAUAAUAAUAAAAAAAAAAAGCCAAAAACCCCCACUUUUCGUUUUUUGGUGAGAAAGAAAAAAAAAGUUACAGCAGUUAUCGCUAAAAGCUGGUCCUCCUCAAUGAAAUAUUUUGCUGAAAGGUGUUUGGAGAAGCUCAAUGGGUAUCAGGGCAGGAUUGGAGGGAGUGUGAAUCUUAAACUUCCUGGGCUCAGAGGUGUAGGGCUGUGGGCUGGCUCCAAGCCAGAGUCUGCUAAGUGGCCAUCUCACCUCUUUUGUGGAAAAAAUACUCGCCAGAGGCAAGUCUGACACCUGUUUUUGGAGCUCUGUAUCUUGGUCCCCUCCUCUAUAGCUUAAAACCCUCUGCCAAGAGCAGACUUUGCUUCACAUGAUGUUAGAGAAGGGAGGACUAGGAAGCUUUUUAUUUCCUUGUUCCGCAUUUCUUUAUGCAGAAGUUUUGUUUGCUUUGGGUGACUGAGGGAAUUAGGGGCUUUUGGCAGGACAUUAUCCAGGGAAGGGGACUUCCAGAGAGAGUGAGUUAAGGAAGAAGAGAAGAGAAAAGAAAAGAAGAGAAGAGAAAAGAAGAGAAAAGAAGAGAAAAGAAGAGAAAAGAAGAGAAAAGAAGAGAAAAGAAGAGAAAAGAAGAGAAAAGAAGAGAAAAGAAGAGAAAAGAAGAGAAAAGAAGAGAAAAGAAGAGAAAAGAAGAGAAAAGAAGAUCUGUAGGAGAUGAAAAGCCCCUUCUAAAAAAGCCCCUCUCAAACCCAAGGUGCAGAGCUGCACUGCUGAACCCACACAACUCUGGGAUUUAUUCACUCUCUGUCCAGCCACAGGAGAACGUGGACUUCUGGCUGACACAUCCUGUGGCUUCAGGAUAUUUGGAUAAAGAAAAGGAUGAAAUUUCCUAUUGUAGAGGGACUAGACGGUGCAAACUUCACUGAAUAAUGGAGUAAAGAUUUGCUGAGAAGCUACAAAGAGCCUAACCCACCAACAGCUGAUAAGAUGGCUCUCGUGUUUUACACCAAAUUGAAUAUCUCAGUCCAGCAGAAGCUCUGAAAUGUGAAGAGUACUGCAAAAAUAUUCUGCACCAGCACAAGCUGGGGGUGACCUGCUGGGGAGAAGCUCUGUGGAGAAGGACCUGGGGGACCUGGUGGACAAUGAGCUGUCCCUGACCAGCAGAGGCCAAAGAGGCCAGUGGCAACCUGGGGACACAGGGAUGGGCAUUGCCAGCAGGGCAGGGCUGAUCCUGCCCCUGUGCCCAGCCCUGAGGCACCUCUGGGUGCUGUGCCCAGCCCUGGGGGCACCUCUGGGUGCUGUGCCCAGCCCUGGGGCACCUCUGGGUGCUGUGCCCAGCCCUGGGGCACCUCUGGGUGCUGGGCCCAGCCCUGGGGGCACCUCUGGGUGCUGUGCCCAGCCCUGAGGCACCUCUGGGUGCUGUGCCCAGCCCUGGCUCCUCAGCACAGCAGGGCCAGGAGCUCCUGGAGCUGAGCAAGGGCCUGGAGCAUCUCCGUGCCCAGGAGAGGCUGAGGGAGCUGGGGCUGCUCAGCCUGGAGAGGAGCCCCAGGGAGAGGGGCCUCAGCCCUGGGGGUCCCUGGGGGUCCCUGUCUGUCCCUGUGUCUGUCCCUUUCUGUCCCUGUCGGUCUGUCUGUCCCUGUCUGUCCCUGUCUGUCUAUCCCUGUCUGUCUGUCCCUGUGUCUGUCCCUGUGUCUGUCCCUGGGUGUCCCUGUGUCUGUCCCUGGGUGUCCCUGUGUGUGCCCCUGUCUGUCCCUGUGUCUGUCCUUGUCUGUCCCUGUGUGUCCCUGUGUCUGUCCCUGUCUGUCUGUCCCUGUGUCUGUCCCUGUGUGCAGGGAGGGCAGAGCAGCCCCAGGCUCUGCUCCAGGCCCAGCAAUGGCCCCAGAGCCACGGGCAGGGGCUGAGCCCAGCAAUUCCCCUGCACAGGGGCACAGCUUCUGCCCUGGGCAGUGCCAGCCCUGAGCAGAGCCCAGAGGGGCUGGGGACUCCUCCCUGGGGACAUUCCAGAGCCCUCUGGACACAGCCCUGUGUCCUGGGAUGGCCCUGCUGGAGCAGGGAGGUGGCACCAGUGACCCACUGUGGUCCCUCCCAGCCUGACCAUCCUGUGGUCUGGUGACAAUCUGGGAAAAGAGCCCCGCUGUGGAAGUUUGACACGGCUGUGGAGGGCAUCAGCAUCACCAAGGGACCUGAACUCAGUGUUGGGUUUUCUCAUUUCUGUCUGCCUCAGUCACACAGGUGAGCACGGCUGGGCUUACAGAACUGAACACAAAGGCACAGAUGCAAACAGCAACCUCUGUGAAAAACAGUCUCUGUCUGUUUUCAGGCUUCAGGACUGAAGCCUCUGUCUUCAGUCCUCCUGCAACCUGUGGGCAAGAUAUUCCCAGAGUUUUUGGGUUUGAUAUACAGACAAACAUAAAGUGAAAAUCAAACAAA